rnacentral:rRNA from 1 species
UACGUAGGGGGCAAGCGUUGUCCGGAUUUAUUGGGCGUAAAGAGCGUGUAGGCGGCCAGGUAGGUCAGCUGUGAAAACUCGAGGCUCAACCUCGAGACGCCGGUUGAAACCAUCUGGCUAGAGUCCGGAAGAGGAGAGUGGAAUUCCUGGUGUAGCGGUGAAAUGCGCAGAUAUCAGGAGGAACACCGGUGGCGAAGGCGGGUCUCUGGGCAGUAACUGACGCUGAGGAGCGAAAGCGUGGGGAGCGAACAGG